AUUGAACGCCGGCGGCAGGCUUAACACAUGCAAGUCGAGCGGGGUGAUGGUGCUUGCACUAUCACUCAGCGGCGGACGGGUGAGUAAUGCUUAGGAAUCUGCCUAUUAGUGGGGGACAACAUCUCGAAAGGGAUGCUAAUACCGCAUACGUCCUACGGGAGAAAGCAGGGGAUCACUUGUGACCUUGCGCUAAUAGAUGAGCCUAAGUCGGAUUAGCUAGUUGGUGGGGUAAAGGCCUACCAAGGCGACGAUCUGUAGCGGGUCUGAGAGGAUGAACCGCCACACGGGGACUGAGACACGGCCCCGGCUCCUACGGGAGGCAGCAGUGGGGAAUAUUGGACAAUGGGGGGAACCCUGAUCCAGCCAUGCCGCGUGUGUGAAGAAGGCCUUAUGGUUGUAAAGCACUUUAAGCGAGGAGGAGGCUCUUUUGGUUAAUACCCAAGAUGAGUGGACGUUACUCGCAGAAUAAGCACCGGCUAACUCUGUGCCAGCCGCCGCGGUAA
rnacentral:rRNA from 1 species